GCCCACGUGGCGGAAUCGGUAGACGCUGCGGACUUAAAAUCCGUUGAUCGUAAGAUCGUGGGAGUUCAAGUCUCCCCAUGGGCA
rnacentral:tRNA from 1 species